GAGUGGAGAGGGGAGAGGAGACAGGGAUGGAGCAGAGCAAGGGAUGGGGCAAGCAACAAACCUCACUUCCUUCCACUCAGCAUCACCUGAUUAGUAUGGUUUAUGAGAAGAGCGAGAGAGUUGUGAGAGAUGGGAGCUUCUGUAGUAGUUGUUGUUGCUCCCUCCCUGCACUGCCUCUUCCCUGGCUCCCCUCCGAUCUCUAUCU
rnacentral:pre_miRNA from 1 species